GAAUUCGAUUCAGGCCUAACACACGCAAGUCGAACGGUAACAGGUUAAGCUGACGAGUGGCGCACGGGUGAGUAAAAGAUAGCUAACAUUCCCUUUGGAGGGGAACAACAGAUAGAAAUGUCUGCUAAUACCCCAUACUCCGAGUAAUCGGGAAACGGUUUUUCGCCAAAGGAUUGGGCUAUCACCUAUCAGUUAGUUGGCAGGGUAAGAGCCUACCGAGACUAUGACGGGUAACUGGUCUGAGAGGGCAAUCAGUCACACUGGAACUGAGACACGGUCCAGACUCCUACGGGAGGCAGCAGUGGGGAAUAUUGCUCAAAGGGGGAAACCCUGACGCAGCAACACCGCGUGGAGUUUAAAGCGUUUCGAUGUGUAAACUCCUUUGAGAGGGAAGAAAAAGAC
rnacentral:rRNA from 1 species